UAGCUCAGUGGUAGAGCACCUGCCUAGCACGCAUGAGGGCCUAGGUUUAAUCCCUCG
rnacentral:tRNA from 1 species